UUAGGACGAACGCUGGCGGCGUGCCUAACACAUGCAAGUCGAGCGAGGAGAUUCCUCGGGAUGAUCCUAGCGGCGGACGGGUGAGUAACACGUGGGCAACCUGCCUCAUAGAGAGGAAUAGCCUUCCGAAAGGGAGAUUAAUACCUCAUAACAUUGCAGUUUCGCAUGGAACAGCAAUUAAAGGAGCAAUCCGCUAUGAGAUGGGCCCGCGGCGCAUUAGCUAGUUGGUGAGGUAACGGCUCACCAAGGCGACGAUGCGUAGCCGACCUGAGAGGGUGAUCGGCCACAUUGGGACUGAGACACGGCCCAGACUCCUACGGGAGGCAGCAGUGGGGAAUAUUGCACAAUGGGGGAAACCCUGAUGCAGCCAACGCCGCGUGAGUGAUGACGGCCUUCGGGUUGUAAAGCUCUGUCUUCAGGGACGAUAAUGACGGUACCUGAGGAGGAAGCCACGGCUAACUACGUGCCAGCAGCAGC
rnacentral:rRNA from 1 species